AUUGAACGCUGGCGGCAGGCUUAACACAUGCAAGUCGAGCGGAGAUGAGGUGCUUGCACCUUAUCUUAGCGGCGGACGGGUGAGUAAUGCUUAGGAAUCUGCCUAUUAGUGGGGGACAACAUUCCGAAAGGAAUGCUAAUACCGCAUACGCCCUACGGGGGAAAGCAGGGGAUCUUCGGACCUUGCGCUAAUAGAUGAGCCUAAGUCGGAUUAGCUAGUUGGUGGGGUAAAGGCCUACCAAGGCGACGAUCUGUAGCGGGUCUGAGAGGAUGGUCCGCAACACGGGUACUAAGACACGGCCCAGACUCCUACGGGAGGCAGCAGUGGGGAAUAUUGGACAAUGGGCGGAAGCCUGAUCCAGCCAUGCCGCGUGUGUGAAGAAGGCCUUUUGGUUGUAAAGCACUUUAAGCGAGGAGGAGGCUACCUGGAUUAAUACUCUAGGAUAGUGGACGUUACUCGCAGAAUAAGCACCGGCUAACUCUGUGCCAGCAGCCGCCGUAACAC
rnacentral:rRNA from 1 species